UACGGGGGGGCAAGCGUUGUUCGGAAUUACUGGGCGUAAAGGGCUCGUAGGCGGCCAACUAAGUCAGACGUGAAAUCCCUCGGCUUAACCGGGGAACUGCGUCUGAUACUGGAUGGCUUGAGUUUGGGAGAGGGAUGCGGAAUUCCAGGUGUAGCGGUGAAAUGCGUAGAUAUCUGGAGGAACACCCGUGGCGAAGGCAGCACUCUGGGACGGUACUGACGCUGAGACGCGAAAGCGUGGGGAGCGAACAGG
rnacentral:rRNA from 1 species